GGAAGGAUCGCAUAGUGGUCGAGUGCGCUUGCUUGGAAAGCAAGUAGACCUUAACGGGUCUCCGGGGUUCGAAUCCCCGUCCUUCCG
rnacentral:tRNA from 1 species